GUGCUCACUUUGGCAGUACAUAUACUAAAAUUAGAACAAUACAGGGAGAAUUAGCAUGGCACCUGUGCAAGGAUGACACGCAAAUUUGUGAAGUGAAAAAAAAUAAU